rnacentral:lncRNA from 1 species
UGACUUUAAAACAACACAAAUUUAUUAUUUUUACAUUUUGCAGGUCAGAAGUCUGGGUGGGUGCAGAUGAUUCCUCUGCUCUGGGUCUCACGAGUCCAGAAUCAAGGUGUUGGCCACCCUAGCCUCUUAUAUGGAAGCUUGUGGGUGUGGCAGGGGAGGAUCUGCUUCUAGGUUCAUUCAGGCUAUUGGCGCCAAUCAGUUCCAUGUGGCCAUAGGUCCCUCUUUCCAUCCUAGCUGUCAGCUGGAUGUCAUUCUCUGCCUUUAAAGGCUGUUGGUCCCCAGCUCAUAGCCCCUGUAAUGUUCCAGCUUAAUGUCUGUCAUCCAGUUGCAGUUUGACGUGUCUG